rnacentral:rRNA from 1 species
GCCCUUAGAGUUUGAUCCUGGCUCAGGACGAACGCUGGCGGCGUGCUUAACACAUGCAAGUCGAGCGAUGAAGCUUCCUUCGGGAAGUGGAUUAGCGGCGGACGGGUGAGUAACACGUGGGCAACCUGCCUCAAAGUGGGGGAUAGCCUUCCGAAAGGAAGAUUAAUACCGCAUAACAUAAGAGAAUCGCAUGAUUUUCUUAUCAAAGAUUUAUUGCUUUGAGAUGGACCCGCGGCGCAUUAGCUAGUUGGUAAGGUAACGGCUUACCAAGGCAACGAUGCGUAGCCGACCUGAGAGGGUGAUCGGCCACAUUGGAACUGAGACACGGUCCCAGAUCUCCCUACGGGAGGGCCCAGCAGUGGGGAAAUUAUUGGCGCAAUUGGGGGAAAAACCCUGACGGCAGGGCAACGCCGCGUUGGGUGAAUGAAGGUUUCUUCCGGAUUUGUAAAAAGCCCUUUUGUUUUCUGGGACCGAUAAAUGUGACGGUACCCCAGAGGGAAGGAAACCCGCCACGGCUAACUUUACGUGCCCAGCCAGCCGCCGGGUAAUAACGUAGGGUUGGCGAGGCGUUUGGUCCCGGAUUUUUACUUGGGCGUAAAAGGGUGCGGUAAGGCGGAUGUUUAAGUUGGGAUUGUGAAAUCCCCCGGGGCUUUAACCUGGGGGCUGCAUUCCAAACUGGAUAUCUAGAGUGCAGGAGAGGAAAGCGGAAUUCCUAGUGUAGCGGUGAAAUGCGUAGAGAUUAGGAAGAACACCAGUGGCGAAGGCGGCUUUCUGGACUGUAACUGACGCUGAGGCACGAAAGCGUGGGUAGCAAACAGGAUUAGAUACCCUGGUAGUCCACGCCGUAAACGAUGGAUACUAGGUGUAGGGGGUAUCAACUCCCCCCUGUGCCGCAGUUAACACAAUAAGUAUCCCCGCCUGGGGAGUACGGUCGCAAAGAUUAAAACUCAAAGGAAUUGACGGGGGGGCCCCGCACAAGCCAGCGGAACCAUGUGGUUUAAUUCCAAGCAACGCCGAAGAACCUUACCUGGGACUUGACAUCCCCUUGCAUAGCCUAAAAAAUAGGUUAAGCCCCUUUCGGGGGCCAAGGAAACCAGGUGGUGCCAAGGGUUGUCCCUCCACCCCGUGUCCGGGAAAUGUUUAGGUUUAAGUCCUGCAACCCAGAGCGCAACCCUUGGUUUAUUAAGUUGCUACCAUUAAGUUGAGCACCUCUAAUGAGACUGCCUGGGUAACCAGGAGGAAGGUGGGGAUGACGUCAAAUCAUCAUGCCCCUUAUGUCCAGGGCUACACACGUGCUACAAUGGUAGGUACAAUAAGACGCAAGACCGUGAGGUGGAGCAAAACUUAUAAAACCUAUCUCAGUUCGGAUUGUAGGCUGCAACUCGCCUACAUGAAGCUGGAGUUGCUAGUAAUCGCGAAUCAGAAUGUCGCGGUGAAUACGUUCCCGGGCCUUGUACACACCGCCCGUCACACCAUGAGAGCUGGUAACACCCGAAGUCCGUGAGGUAACCGUAAGGAGCCAGCGGCCGAAGGUGGGAUUAGUGAUUGGGGUGAAGUCGUAACAAGGUAACCGUAAAGGGCGAAU